rnacentral:rRNA from 1 species
GUGGGGAAUCUUGCGCAAUGGGCGAAAGCCUGACGCAGCGACGCCGCGUGAGCGAUGAAGGCCUUCGGGUUGUAAAGCUCUGUGGGGAGGAAAGAAUAAGGGCGAGCCAAUACCUUGCCUGAUGACGGUACCUCCUUAGCAAGCACCGGCUAACUCUGUGCCAGCAGCCGCGGUAAGACAGAGGGUGCAAACGUUGUUCGGAAUUACUGGGCGUAAAGCGCGUGUAGGCGGCCGUGUAAGUCGGAUGUGAAAGCCCUCGGCUCAACUGAGGAAGCGCACCCGAAACUGCGUGGCUAGAGUCCCGGAGAGGAAGGUGGAAUGCUUGGUGUAGAGGUGAAAUUCGUAGAUAUCAAGCGGAACACCGGUGGCGAAGGCGGCCUUCUGGACGGUGACUGACGCUGAGACGCGAAAGCGUGGGGAGCAAACAGGAUUAGAAACCCGAGUAGUCC